rnacentral:rRNA from 1 species
GGUUAAGCGACUAAGCGUACACGGUGGAUGCCCUGGCAGUCAGAGGCGAUGAAGGACGUGCUAAUCUGCGAUAAGCGUCGGUAAGGUGAUAUGAACCGUUAUAACCGGCGAUUUCCGAAUGGGGAAACCCAGUGUGUUUCGACACACUAUCAUUAACUGAAUCCAUAGGUUAAUGAGGCGAACCGGGGGAACUGAAACAUCUAAGUACCCCGAGGAAAAGAAAUCAACCGAGAUUCCCCCAGUAGCGGCGAGCGAACGGGGAGCAGCCCAGAGCCUGAAUCAGUGUGUGUGUUAGUGGAAGCGUCUGGAAAGGCGCGCGAUACAGGGUGACAGCCCCGUACACAAAAAUGCACAUGCUGUGAGCUCGAUGAGUAGGGCGGGACACGUGGUAUCCUGUCUGAAUAUGGGGGGACCAUCCUCCAAGGCUAAAUACUCCUGACUGACCGAUAGUGAACCAGUACCGUGAGGGAAAGGCGAAAAGAACCCCGGCGAGGGGAGUGAAAAAGAACCUGAAACCGUGUACGUACAAGCAGUGGGAGCCUCUUUUAUGGGGUGACUGCGUACCUUUUGUAUAAUGGGUCAGCGACUUAUAUUCUGUAGCAAGGUUAACCGAAUAGGGGAGCCGAAGGGAAACCGAGUCUUAACUGGGCGUUAAGUUGCAGGGUAUAGACCCGAAACCCGGUGAUCUAGCCAUGGGCAGGUUGAAGGUUGGGUAACACUAACUGGAGGACCGAACCGACUAAUGUUGAAAAAUUAGCGGAUGACUUGUGGCUGGGGGUGAAAGGCCAAUCAAACCGGGAGAUAGCUGGUUCUCCCCGAAAGCUAUUUAGGUAGCGCCUCGUGAAUUCAUCUCCGGGGGUAGAGCACUGUUUCGGCAAGGGGGUCAUCCCGACUUACCAACCCGAUGCAAACUGCGAAUACCGGAGAAUGUUAUCACGGGAGACACACGGCGGGUGCUAACGUCCGUCGUGAAGAGGGAAACAACCCAGACCGCCAGCUAAGGUCCCAAAGUCAUGGUUAAGUGGGAAACGAUGUGGGAAGGCCCAGACAGCCAGGAUGUUGGCUUAGAAGCAGCCAUCAUUUAAAGAAAGCGUAAUAGCUCACUGGUCGAGUCGGCCUGCGCGGAAGAUGUAACGGGGCUAAACCAUGCACCGAAGCUGCGGCAGCGACGCUUAUGCGUUGUUGGGUAGGGGAGCGUUCUGUAAGCCUGUGAAGGUGUGCUGUGAGGCAUGCUGGAGGUAUCAGAAGUGCGAAUGCUGACAUAAGUAACGAUAAAGCGGGUGAAAAGCCCGCUCGCCGGAAGACCAAGGGUUCCUGUCCAACGUUAAUCGGGGCAGGGUGAGUCGACCCCUAAGGCGAGGCCGAAAGGCGUAGUCGAUGGGAAACAGGUUAAUAUUCCUGUACUUGGUGUUACUGCGAAGGGGGGACGGAGAAGGCUAUGUUGGCCGGGCGACGGUUGUCCCGGUUUAAGCGUGUAGGCUGGUUUUCCAGGCAAAUCCGGAAAAUCAAGGCUGAGGCGUGAUGACGAGGCACUACGGUGCUGAAGCAACAAAUGCCCUGCUUCCAGGAAAAGCCUCUAAGCAUCAGGUAACAUCAAAUCGUACCCCAAACCGACACAGGUGGUCAGGUAGAGAAUACCAAGGCGCUUGAGAGAACUCGGGUGAAGGAACUAGGCAAAAUGGUGCCGUAACUUCGGGAGAAGGCACGCUGAUAUGUAGGUGAAGCGACUUGCUCGUGGAGCUGAAAUCAGUCGAAGAUACCAGCUGGCUGCAACUGUUUAUUAAAAACACAGCACUGUGCAAACACGAAAGUGGACGUAUACGGUGUGACGCCUGCCCGGUGCCGGAAGGUUAAUUGAUGGGGUCAGCGCAAGCGAAGCUCUUGAUCGAAGCCCCGGUAAACGGCGGCCGUAACUAUAACGGUCCUAAGGUAGCGAAAUUCCUUGUCGGGUAAGUUCCGACCUGCACGAAUGGCGUAAUGAUGGCCAGGCUGUCUCCACCCGAGACUCAGUGAAAUUGAACUCGCUGUGAAGAUGCAGUGUACCCGCGGCAAGACGGAAAGACCCCGUGAACCUUUACUAUAGCUUGACACUGAACAUUGAGCCUUGAUGUGUAGGAUAGGUGGGAGGCUUAGAAGUGUGGACGCCAGUCUGCAUGGAGCCGACCUUGAAAUACCACCCUUUAAUGUUUGAUGUUCUAACGUUGACCCGUAAUCCGGGUUGCGGACAGUGUCUGGUGGGUAGUUUGACUGGGGCGGUCUCCUCCUAAAGAGUAACGGAGGAGCACGAAGGUUGGCUAAUCCUGGUCGGACAUCAGGAGGUUAGUGCAAUGGCAUAAGCCAGCUUGACUGCGAGCGUGACGGCGCGAGCAGGUGCGAAAGCAGGUCAUAGUGAUCCGGUGGUUCUGAAUGGAAGGGCCAUCGCUCAACGGAUAAAAGGUACUCCGGGGAUAACAGGCUGAUACCGCCCAAGAGUUCAUAUCGACGGCGGUGUUUGGCACCUCGAUGUCGGCUCAUCACAUCCUGGGGCUGAAGUAGGUCCCAAGGGUAUGGCUGUUCGCCAUUUAAAGUGGUACGCGAGCUGGGUUUAGAACGUCGUGAGACAGUUCGGUCCCUAUCUGCCGUGGGCGCUGGAGAACUGAGGGGGGCUGCUCCUAGUACGAGAGGACCGGAGUGGACGCAUCACUGGUGUUCGGGUUGUCAUGCCAAUGGCACUGCCCGGUAGCUAAAUGCGGAAGAGAUAAGUGCUGAAAGCAUCUAAGCACGAAACUUGCCCCGAGAUGAGUUCUCCCUGACCUUUUAAGGGUCCUGAAGGAACGUUGAAGACGACGACGUUGAUAGGCCGGGUGUGUAAGCGCAGCGAUGCGUUGAGCUAACCGGUACUAAUGAACCGUGAGGCUUAACCUU